UGGUGUCUCUGUUGAUCUUAACUCGAACAUUGGCUAAUUAUAUUUUGUAAUGGGAGUUGUCAAGGGAUAGGGACUGAUUGCUUUUUUUUCUGUCUGAUCAGCGAAUAGGCACAACCUUUCAUGAUUUUUGAAGUUUGGACAGUUUUAUGUGCCCUUUGUUGCCUAAUCCCUAUAUUAUUGGACGAUCAACAUGGUGGCCAUCAGGGUUCCCAUCACCGUGUGACAAGCUGGAGCUACUCAAGAGCGCCCCCAAGCUGGUUGAGAAUAGCAAGAUACUUAUUCUCCAUGGUAUAAAGAUUAGUGUGGUUUUGAACUCCAUGCUGGUAGAUCUUUUUCACCUAAUGUGUGAUCACUAUGUGGAGUACGCCAACAAUAAUGACGGCAUCAGUCCAUUUGAGAGUAGGGGUGGGACUUCCCUCAAGUUAUUCCCCCUUGAAUCUUCCGACAACCUUUUAUUUACAUCUCCUAUUGUGUAGUUGGUGACAAUAAGGAAUUGUUAUCCAUUUGAGAAAAUAAAAAUUAAAUCGAUGAUGCUCUCAGAAGUAAAAUGGCUUUCUGAGAAUCAAUAGAAAACCUAUCUGAAACCUUCUCCAUGUAUGUCAUAAUGAUCUUUUCAAUUUUUUAAUCUUUGUAUAUUAAACUAGAGAAUAUUAUUCUGCAUUAUUUUCAACCAUUA